rnacentral:rRNA from 1 species
UACGGAGGAUGCAAGCGUUAUCCGGAAUGAUUGGGCGUAAAGGGUCCGCAGGUGGCAGUGUAAGUCUGCUGUCAAAGAAUGAGGCUUAACCUUAUCAAGGCAGUGGAAACUACACAGCUAGAGUACGGUCGGGGUAGAAGGAAUUCCUGGUGUAGCGGUGAAAUGCGUAGAGAUCAGGAAGAACACCGGUGGCGAAAGCGUUCUGCUAGACCUGUACUGACACUGAGGGACGAAAGCUAGGGGAGCGAACAGG